rnacentral:rRNA from 1 species
UACGGGGGGGGCACGCGUUGUUCGGAAUUACUGGGCGUAAAGGGCUCGUAGGCGGCCAACUAAGUCAGACGUGAAAUCCCUCGGCUUAACCGGGGAACUGCAUCUGAUACUGGAUGGCUUGAGUUCGGGAGAGGGAUGCGGAAUUCCAGGUGUAGCGGUGAAAUGCGUAGAUAUCUGGAGGAACACCGGUGGCGAAGGCGGCUCUCUGGACCACAACUGACGCUGAGGCGCGAAAGCUAGGGGAGCAAACAGG